rnacentral:rRNA from 1 species
AACGAACGCUGGCGGCGUGCCUAACACAUGCAAGUCGAACGGAAACUCCCUGCUUUUGUGCGGUGCCCGAUUGGCGAACGGGUGAGUUACACGUGAGUAACCUGCCCUUCACUUUGGGAUAUCUUAAGGCAACUUAGGUUAAUACCGGAAAGGAGCUCCCGCCUCAUGGUGGGCGUUGGAAAGUUUCGGCGGUUGGGGAUGGAUUGGCGGCUUAUCAGCUUGUUGGUGGGGUAGUGGCUUACCAAGGCAUUGCCCGGUAGCCGGCCUGAGAGGGUGACCGGCCCAGAUGGGACUGAGCUACGACCCGGACUACUAUGGUAGGGAGCGGUGGGGAAUAUUGUACUGUGGGCGGAAGCAUAGUGCGACAACGCCGCGUGCGGGAUGACGUCCUUCGGGUUGUAAAACGCUGUCGCCUAUGACGAAGCGUGAGUGACGGUAACGGGAAAAUAAGCACCGGCUAACUACGUG